AAUUGUUUUACAAGGGUCGCAGUCAGAUCCUCAGUAUCACGAAAGAAAUGGCCUGUAUAUUGGCCAAGGAACUGCUUCAUUGUCAAGGGCUUCUAUGUUCCGUGUGUCUUAUGGGACUGCUGUGGAGAUGACAAACCGAGUGUACAAGCUUCCAUCAUUUUACAAUGUACUCGAAGGAGAAAUAUUUCUGCAAAACUUGCCCAGCAUUGUUACGGCUUGUGUUUUAGAUCCUCAAGAAGGUGAAAGAAUAUUGGACAUGUGUGCUGCUCCUGGAGGGAAAACAACU